GAGGAAUAUUGCGCAAUGGAGGAAACUCUGACGCAGCCACGCCGCGUGCAGGAAGAAGGUCCUAUGGAUCGUAAACUGCUUUUAUUCGGGACGAAUGGGAAGGUUUCGACCUUGAGUGACGGUACCGAUUGAAUAAGCACCGGCUAACUCCGUGCCAGCAGCCGCGGUAAUACGGAGGGUGCAAGCGUUGUCCGGAAUCAUUGGGUGUAAAGGGUGCGUAGGCGGGUUUUUAAGUCUGGGGUGAAAGUCUGCGGCUCAACCGUAGGAUUGCCUUGGAUACUGGAGACCUUGAGUGUAACAGAGGCCGGUAGAAUUCGUGGUGUAGCGGUGAAAUGCAUAGAUAUCACGAAGAAUACCAGUGGCGUAGGCGGCCGGCUGGGUUACAACUGACGCUGAGGCACGAGAGCGUGGGGAGCAAAC
rnacentral:rRNA from 1 species